rnacentral:rRNA from 1 species
UACGUAGGGUGCGAGCGUUGUCCGGAAUUAUUGGGCGUAAAGGGCUCGUAGGCGGUUUGUCGCGUCGGGAGUGAAAACACUGGGCUUAACCGAGUGCUUGCUUCCGAUACGGGCAGACUAGAGGUAUGCAGGGGGAGAACGGAAUUCCUGGUGUAGCGGUGAAAUGCGCAGAUAUCAGGGGGAACACCGGUGGCGAAGGCGGUUCUCUGGGCAUUACCUGACGCUGAGACGCGAAAGCGUGGGGAGCAAACAGG